CCAUCAAUUCUUGCUCUGGUUCAUUUCUAA
rnacentral:piRNA from 1 species